GACAGAGGGGGCAAGCGUUGCUCGGAAUUACUGGGCGUAAAGGGCGCGUAGGCGGGAUGGCAAGUCGGUCGUGAAAUCCCUCGGCUCAACCGAGGAACGUCGAUCGAUACUGCUGUUCUUGAGGAUUGCAGAGGAGACUGGAAUUUACGGUGUAGCAGUGAAAUGCGUAGAUAUCGUAAGGAAGACCAGUGGCGAAGGCGAGUCUCUGGACAGUUACUGACACUGAGGCACGAAGGCCAGGGGAGCAAACGGG
rnacentral:rRNA from 1 species